rnacentral:lncRNA from 1 species
AACUUUUGUCUAUGGGUUAUAGGCAUAAAAUCUGUAUAUUUACUAGACACUCCUUAUAUGUUGAAGAAAAAGAACAUAAUCCUGCAUGAAUAUUUAUUUUUAGUUUGUUUAAUAAUGAUAAAUGGUUUCAGAUAUUAGGUACUAAUAUUUAGCUAUAAAAUAAUUAUGUUCGAGCGAAAUGAGUAAAAUCGGACUUUCUUUUUUAACAAGAGUAUUGCCAUACGUGAAAAGGUUUUGAAUUUAAAAAGUAGUAUUUGCAGAUUUCGGCUGCUUGUACAUCGCGCAGCUCCAAAUGAAUGGCUAGUAAAUGAGAUCUGUAAAAUAUAGUUUGACAGAAAUGUAUGGUAUUUGAGUACUUUUACCAAUAGAUUAUAUUUGCAAGUAAUCUUUAUGGUAAUACUUUUAAAUGGGAAAUUGGCCAACUUCCACAUUGUAUGAUUAAAAGAUGAUGCUUUGCCUGUCUGCAAAAUUAGUCAAGAGUUUUAAGAAGUUAGAAUUUAUUGUGGCUACCUCGUCUGUCCUGAUUUGUAAUAUUUUUUGAAUUUUUUAGAAGAAAAUUGGAUUUAAAAGUAUAUAUGCUGUUGUUCAAAAUUAAAAAAAUUUUCACAUUUGAUCAAUUAUCGUCAGAACUCAUAGACAGAUUUUAAUGAAGUUUGGUAUGCACAUAGGUUAAUAGAAUACAAAACAAUAUAUUAUACAACAGUCAUAUUGCACACAAGGGUAUUGGAGUGUGUGGACUUCUCCUCCCUAUUAGUGUGAAGCUCGUUGAAGAAGGCUAAUAGGGAGUAUGAACCUCUCUAACUAUCAUGGAGUUGACAUAAGAUGAUUUCAGACUGGGGAAAUAAGUUUAUCAAUCUUUGUGUACACUUAGUCUCAUUUCUGCAGCAGCAUUGUUUCCAGCUCUUGGAGAUUUCUGGGAUAGGGAAUGCAAGUUGCACUUGCUAUCCUAAGAACAUUCCAGACAUCUUCUAUAGAUUAAGAUCUGAAGAUAUGGCCGGCCAAACUGUCCAGUUAAUAUCCUUUCUUUCCAGAGAAUCCUUCACUGGAAUAACCUUAUGUGGUCGAAUGUUGUCAUCCAUAAAAAUGAGCUUAAAGUAAACUGCAUCCUUGAAAAGAUGUAUGUAGGUGUCUAAAAUAUCUUCCUUGCGCCAGUCAUGGAGCAUGUGAUGUGAAAAGAUGUGAAGGUCUUUACAUCUGUGUAGCACGAUGCUGCACUGACAUUCAUUCAAAACUCUAAUGCUAUACUGGUCCAUUAUACUGGGUGUUGGAGGACAGAUAACAUUUCCCUGGUACUUUCCAGAUGAAGGUACUUUGGGAAUCAGUGGUUAGGCUGAAUUGAAACUCAUCUCUGAAAGGAGCAUUUCCUACUAAUGCUUGGUUUAAAGUCAGUGUUAUCUGCACCAUACUAAAUAGACUGUUAUGUGUGCAGAAGUCGGGAUGCAAACAGCAGGUCUUUCAAACAGACCUUUCGCAUAUAGCCUUCGGGAAACAGUAACUCUUGAAGCCCAUCUUUCUGUGGCCUCAUGAGUCAUGAGAGAGCUGAAAGGUUGUUACAAUACUCAUAUUACGCCUUGCUUGACCAUGUUAUUUCUCUUAAUAGGCAUGGUAUCUUUAAACAUUUUUCUUAAGUUGUACAAGAGGUUGGGCGUAAAGCUGCGUUCAGACUUGGGCAUAAAGCGCAUAGAGGCAUAGUCAUAAGGGCAUAAAAUACGGAACAUCCGUUCACACCUGCGAGACGGGGGUCUAAGCUGUGGCCAAUGAGAGAAGCUAAAUUUGCGCAUGCGUGGAUGUGUCUACACCUUUCGCACGCUGUUUUCUAGCCCAAUUGAUUUCUCCCGCUCGCUCUGCUCGUUUUCGUUAUUUUGUGUCAUGGCUUUUUCAGCUGACCACAAAGUUUUACUGGUUCAGCAGAAUGCUCUUUUAUCUGCUCUGCUUAUAAGCCAAGAGGCAAUGGAAGAAGGUAAAAAAAAGAAAAAUAACAAAAUGGUCUAGAGAUAUUUUUUUGAAAGACCAAUAUUUAGUUGGCACAUAUAUUUCUGUGCAAAGCAGUAUGGAAUAUUUAGCA